AUUGAACGCUGGCGGUAUGCUUAAGACAUGCAAGUCGAACGGUAACAGGUUAAGCUGACGAGUGGCGGACGAGUGAGUAACGCGUGGGAAUCUACCUUGUAGUGGGGGAUAAGCCAGGGAAACUUGGACUAAUACCGCAUACGCCCUAAGGGGGAAAGGAGCAAUUCGCUAUAAGAUGAGCCCGCGUCUGAUUAGGUAGUUGGUGGGGUAAAGGCCUACCAAGCCGACGAUCAGUAGCUGGUCUGAGAGGAUGAUCAGCCACGUCGGGACUGAGACACGGCCCGGACUCCUACGGGAGGCAGCAGUCGGGAAUAUUGCGCAAUGGGGGAAACCCUGACGCAGCGACGCCGCGUGAGCGAAGAAGGCCUUAGGGUUGUAAAGCUCUGUUGUAAGGGAAGAAAGGCAACCGGAGUAACAUGCUGGUUGUAUGACGGUACCUUACGAGGAAGCCCCGGCUAACUACGUGCCAGCAGCCGCGGUAAGAGUACUCUAU
rnacentral:rRNA from 1 species